GGAGGUGCCGCUGCAACUAUCAAAACCCUACCGACGAAAUCCAUCCCUUAACCCGCCGGAAAAUCGACAUGACCACCAAAUCGCCGCCGUCGGCGACACAAUACCGACCCUCUCUACUCUUAGCAAUGACGAUCCUAUCAUUUGGACCUAAAAGACUCUUGAUUUCCAUUCUAAAACCCUAAAAAUUAUCUCUCAAUCUCGGCAUGAUUCCUUCCAUCAGACGACGACUUGGCCGGACGCAAAACACAUCUAUACAACCUCAUCGAAGACGGAAUGAUUGAAACCCUAACCUCAACAAAUCCGUCAAGAUGCAAAUCAAAUUGAUCGAUUUCGGUUUCAAUUACAGAAACGGAGUUAGAGUGGCUGCCAUUAAAGGAUUCAAAGAUGAUCCCCAAAAUAUUGCAGACACAGAUCAGAUAUCUAUAUUUCCAAACCCUAUGUAAUACCUGCCCCUUUAUUACCCUCUUUCGUUAUGUUUAAUGUCAAACUAGAGAUUUAUCACUCUCUUGUUUCGUUAAAUUAAAUGGAACUCAUUGCCCCUUUGUUGGUA